rnacentral:rRNA from 1 species
GUGGGGAAUCUUAGACAAUGGGGGAAACCCUGAGCUAGCCAUGCCGCGUGAGCGAUGAAGGCCUUAGGGUUGUAAAGCUCUUUCAGCUGGGAAGAUAAUGACGGUACCAGCAGAAGAAGCCCCGGCUAACUCCGUGCCAGCAGCCGCGGUAAUACGGAGGGGGCUAGCGUUGUUCGGAAUUACUGGGCGUAAAGCGCGCGUAGGCGGACCAGAAAGUUGGAGGUGAAAUCCCAGGGCUCAACCUUGGAACUGCCUUCAAAACUCCUGGUCUGGAGUUCGAGAGAGGUGAGUGGAAUUCCGAGUGUAGAGGUGAAAUUCGUAGAUAUUCGGAGGAACACCAGUGGCGAAGGCGGCUCACUGGCUCGAUACUGACGCUGAGGUGCGAAAGCGUGGGGAGCAAACAGGAUUAGAAACCCCGGUAGUCC